GACGAACGCUGGCGGCGUGCUUAACACAUGCAAGUCGAACGGUGAAGCGCCUUCCUUUUUGGUUGGUGUGGAUGAGUGGCGAACGGGUGAGUAACACGUGAGUAACCUGCCCCCUUCUUCUGGAUAACCGCAUGAAAGUGUGGCUAAUACGGGAUAUUCUGGGUCUGUCGCAUGAUGGGUCUGGGAAAGAUAUUGUUUCGGUGGGGGAUGGGCUCGCGGCCUAUCAGCUUGUUGGUGGGGUGAUGGCCUACCAAGGCGGUGACGGGUAGCCGGUCUGAGAGGGUGAUGCAGCAAACGGGAAGUGAGACACGGUCCAGGGUCCGAGGGGAGGCAGCAGUGGGGAAGAGUGGACAAUGGGCGGAAGCCUGAUCCAGCCAUACCGCGUGGGUGAAGAAGGCCUGCGGGUUGUAAAGGCCUGUUGUUGGGAAAGAAAAGCAGCAGGUUAAUACCCCGCUGUUCUGACGGUACCCAAAGAAUAAGCACCGGCUAACUUCGUG
rnacentral:rRNA from 1 species